AGUGAACGCUGGCGGCAGGCCUAACACAUGCAAGUCGAACGGCAGCACAAGAGAGCUUGCUCUCUGGGUGGCGAGUGGCGGACGGGUGAGGAAUGCAUCGGAAUCUGCCCAUUUGUGGGGGAUAACCUCGGGAAACCGGGACUAAUACCGCAUACGAUCUACGGGUGAAAGCAGGGGAUCUUCGGACCUUGCGCAGAUGGAUGAGCCGAUGCCGGAUUAGCUAGUUGGAGGGGUAAAGGCCCACCAAGGCGACGAUCCGUAGCUGGUCUGAGAGGAUGAUCAGCCACACUGGGACUGAGACACGGCCCAGACUCCUACGGGAGGCAGCAGUGGGGAAUAUUGGACAAUGGGCGCAAGCCUGAUCCAGCCAUGCCGCGUGUGUGAAGAAGGCCUUCGGGUUGUAAAGCACUUUUGUUGGGAAAGAAAAGCAGCCGGUUAAUACCCGGUUGUCAUGACGGUACCCAAAGAAUAAGCACCGGCUAACUUCGUG
rnacentral:rRNA from 1 species